AGAGUUUGAUCCUGGCUCAGAUUGAACGCUGGCGGCAUGCUUUACACAUGCAAGUCGAACGGCAGCGGGGGCUUCGGCCUGCCGGCGAGUGGCGAACGGGUGAGUAAUGCAUCGGAACGUGCCCAGUCAUGGGGGAUAACUACGCGAAAGCGUAGCUAAUACCGCAUACGCCCUGAGGGGGAAAGCGGGGGAUCGCAAGACCUCGCGUGAUUGGAGCGGCCGAUGUCGGAUUAGCUGGUUGGUGGGGUAAAGGCCUACCAAGGCGACGAUCCGUAGCGGGUCUGAGAGGAUGAUCCGCCACACUGGGACUGAGACACGGCCCAGACUCCUACGGGGGGCAGCAGUGGGGAAUUUUGGACAAUGGGGGCAACCCUGAUCCAGCCAUGCCGCGUGAGUGAAGAAGGCCUUCGGGUUGUAAAGCUCUUUCAGACGGAA
rnacentral:rRNA from 1 species